CCGUCGGAAAAGCGCAGUAUUCGGGUGGGAGUGACCCGAUUUUCCAGGUGCUGUCCGUCACCCCUUUCUUUGACUCGGAAAGGGAACUCCCUGACCCCUUGCGCUUCCCAAAGUGAGGCAAUGCCUCGCCCUGCUUUGGCUCGCGCACGGUGCGCGCACCCACUGACCUGCGCCCGCUGUCUGGCACUCCCUAGUGAGAUGAACCCUGUACCUCAGAUGGAAAUGCAGAAAUCACCCGUCUUCUGCGUCGCUCAUGCUGGGAGCUGCAGACCGGAGCUGUUCCUAUUCGGCCAUCUUGGUUCCUCCCUCCAAGAACUACUUAACAAUAUACAUACUGAUCCAUUGUGGAAUUAUUAAGGAAAAUACAUUGAAAUAGGUGGCAUUCUUGUCAAAGAUAUAUAUGGACGGCUAGAUGGAUAGAUAGUUUGUCUCUGUGUUAUUUUUUUCAGGUGAAAAUCAUGUUCCAUGGAAGAAGAGUUAGCUCAGCCUGCAACUCAAACAAGUACAGAUAUUCUUCCAUGGAAUGACCAUCAUACUUGGAUUGUAAUAAAAAUGCUUUAGGCAAACUUCUCAUUUCAUCCUUGGCAUAUUAAAAAUAUGUAUGUAUGUUUAAGGCUUGAAACUUAACACUGUAUUUUAAUGUUUCAGUAAGGUAAUUCUUCUUAAAUAAAAUUGGCAUUUUUAAAAAA
ensembl:lncRNA LINC01807 long intergenic non-protein coding RNA 1807